rnacentral:rRNA from 1 species
GUCCACGCUGUAAACGAUGAGUGCUAGGUGCUGCGGGUAUUGACCCCUGCGGUGCCGUAGCUAACGCGUUAAGCACUCCGCCUGGGGAGUACGGUCGCAAGACUAAAACUCAAAGGAAUUGACGGGGGCCCGCACAAGCGGUGGAGCAUGUGGUUCAAUUCGACGCAACGCGCAGAACCUUACCUGGGUUAAAUCCACUCGAACCUGCCAGAGAUGGUGGGGUGCCCUUCUGGGGAGCGAGUGAGAAGGUGCUGCAUGGCUGUCGU